CUGUUCCUUGUCUCCGAUUAAACUCCUUACGUAUUGCGGCGUAGCGUUUGAAUAAGAGAUGUUAGUGUAGAAAUCGGGGGCCCUAAAUCAGUUUUUUAUUGUCCAUCCCAUUGGACCUUGGUCGGACGACCUAUACAGUGACGGAGGGAGUACCAUGUGAUCAGUCUGCGUGGUAGCGGAGUUUUUGGGCUUGAGCCGUCCGUCGAAGAACACUUCCAGGUCAGUCGAACACGUUUUUUUGCUUAAGCCCUCGGAGAAGAUUUCCAGAACCAGUCGAACACGUUUUUGGGCUUAAGACAUCGGAGACCAUUUCCAGACCAGUCGAACACGAUAAGUCGCAAAAGCGAUACGUGGCGGCGUCUUCUUGAGAAGACGAAACAGUUUCUUCUUUCGGCCCUAAAAGGAUACGU
rnacentral:rRNA from 1 species